rnacentral:rRNA from 1 species
GACGAACGCUGGCGGCGUGCUUAACACAUGCAAGUCGAACGAUGAACCCGGAGCUUGCUCCGGUGGAUUAGUGGCGAACGGGUGAGUAACACGUGAGUAACCUGCCCUUGACUCUGGGAUAACUGCGGGAAACUGUAGCUAAUACCGGAUACGACCCUCGGCGGCAUCGCCAGGGGGUGGAAAGAAUUUCGGUCAAGGAUGGACUCGCGGCCUAUCAGCCAGUUGGUGAGGUAACGGCUCACCAAGGCGACGACGGGUAGCCGGCAUGAGAGGGUGACCGGCCAACCUGGGACUGAGACACGGCCCAGACACCUACGGGUGGCUGCAGUCGAGAAUAUUCCCCAAUGGCCGAAAGGCUGAGGGAGCGACGCCGCGUGCAGGACGAAGGGCUUCGGCUCGUAAACUGCUUUUCUCAGGGAAGAACACUGACGGUACCUGAGGAAUAAGAGGUUGCUAACUCUGUGCCAGCCGCCGCCGUAA